GUGUUUGUUUCCGUAGCACAUAUACUAACCGUGGAAUGAUCAGGGAAGAUGAGCAUGGCCCUUAUGCAAUGAUGACACACAAAGCUGUGAAGGGUUCCAUAUUUUU